UCGAGGAUCUUCGGCAAUGGGCGCAAGCCUGACCGAGCGACGCCGCGUGUGCGAAGAAGGCCUUCGGGUUGUAAAGCACUGUCGAGGGGGAGGAAAGCCGCAAGGUCUGACCUAACCCUGGAGGAAGCACGGGCUAAGUUCGUGCCAGCAGCCGCGGUAAGACGAACCGUGCGAACGUUGUUCGGAAUCACUGGGCUUAAAGGGCGCGUAGGCGGCUGACCCAGUCGGGGGUGAAAUCUUUCGGCUUAACCGGAAAAGUGCCUUCGAUACUGGUCAGCUCGAGCGAGGUAGGGGCAGGGGGAACUUCCGGUGGAGCGGUGAAAUGCGUUGAUAUCGGAAGGAACGCCGGUGGCGAAAGCGCCCUGCUGGACCUCAUCUGACGCUGAGGCGCGAAAGCCAGGGGAGCAAACGGGAUUAGAUACCCCCGUAGUCC
rnacentral:rRNA from 1 species